rnacentral:ncRNA from 1 species
UAUAAACGUUUGAUAAGAGAUUAGUAACAUAUUUAAUUUUUUAAGAGAGUUUACGGGUGGUGUAAGUAAAUAAAAUUUAUAUGUGAAUCUACUCUUAGAUGUUUUUAGUGAAAACUAAACCGUAAGUUAGGCGGUUACCCUACUAAUUGAGUGUAUUAUUUUUAUAAUAACUUAAGGUGGCACCGCGGAUUAUAUUCGUCCUUAUA